GUGAAUCAUCAAAUUUUUGAACGCAAAUUGCGCUUCCUGGCAUCCCGGGGAGUAUGCCUGUUUGAGGGUCAGUAUUAUUAAAAAAGCGGUUUAUGUACAAAUUGUGACGUUUCCGGAGUUUGGGCGAUCUUAACAUUUUUGGGUAAGAGGCUUAAAAUUGACCUUUUUUGCGCAGUUUUAAACUAACAUAAAUUUUUUUUAUUCGUCU
rnacentral:misc_RNA from 1 species